UNCCACCUAGAUGCGGAGACCGGUAGUG
rnacentral:piRNA from 1 species